rnacentral:ncRNA from 1 species
UGAGGUAGAGGUCGCGGAUAUAAAGAGUACGCGCGUGGAGACGUUAGAGCCGUCUAUGAAUCGCGUCGAAAGGAAUAUCUGCCGAAGUUUGCACUGUCGCUCAUACAGCGGUGCAGGCUGGGGCCGUUGCCGAAAGGCACGGAACUGUCACAUUAUAUGACCUGCAUAAGUAUAAGUAGCAGGUCAUAAUGUGUUGCGCUAUC